rnacentral:rRNA from 1 species
AUUGAACGCUGGCGGCAUGCUUUACACAUGCAAGUCGAACGGUAACAGGUCUUUCGGGAUGCUGACGAGUGGCGAACGGGUGAGUAAUGUAUCGGAACGUGCCCAGUAGUGGGGGAGUAACUACUCGAAAGAGUGGCUAAUACCGCAUGAGGAUCUCUGGAUGAAAGCGGGGGCCGUAAGGCUCGCGCUACUGGAGCGGCCGAUAUCAGAUUAGGUUGUUGGUGAGGUAAAGGCUCACCAAGCCGACGAUCUGUAGCUGGUCUGAGAGGACGACCAGCCACACUGGGACUGAGACACGGCCCAGACUCCUACGGGAGGCAGCAGUGGGGAAUUUUGGACAAUGGGCGCAAGCCUGAUCCAGCAAUGCCGCGUGCAGGACGAAGGCCUCGGUU